AAGAAAAAAAAAAAAAAGAAAAAAAAAAAACAGAAAACGCAUACUAUCAACAUUAGGACAAUAAAUGCCGCUGAUGCCGGCCCGUUCCCCUGGCUCUGGCAAGCUAGAUAAUUUUCCUUUUCUUACCAAAUCGGCUUACACUCAAAAAUACUUUUGGCGAUUGCCCGAUUCAUUUAUUUCUCGAUCGGCUUUAAGUCUGCAAUGCUCACGCGGGUGCAGACGGGGAACUUUUAUUUUCCUUUGAUUUACAAUCCCCACCCCAAAUCUGUCCCUAUCUACUAUCUAGCGAAACCACAGCCAAGGGAACGGGCUUGGAAAAAUCAGCGGGGAAAGAAGACCCUGUUGAGCUUGACUCUAGUCUGACUCUGUGAAGAGACAUGAGAGGUGUAGCAUAAGUGGGAGGCCGUGAACCCUCGCGGUUGUGUCGUGCCGUCAGUGAAAUACCACUACUUUCAUCGUUUCUUUACUUACUCGGUGAAGCGGAAAGCGGACCAUGAGUGUCCACGCUUCUAGCACUAAGUGCAAGGCCCUUCGUGGCCCGCACGAUCUGUUCC
rfam:Ixodes scapularis strain Wikel colony gcontig_1108379715454, whole genome shotgun sequence.